ACGAACGCUGGCGGCUGCUUAACACAUGCAAGUCGAACGGAGUGGCGAACGGGUGAGUAACGCGUGAGCAACCUGCCUAUGACAGUGGGAUAGCCUCGGGAAACCGGGAUUAAUACCGCAUAGUCAUAGAUGGGCUCGCGUCCUAUCAGCUUGUUGGUGGGGUAGUGGCCUACCAAGGCGACGACGGGUAGCCGGCCUGAGAGGGCGACCGGCCACAUUGGGACUGAGAUACGGCCCAAACUCCUACGGGAGGCAGCAGUGGGGAAUAUUGCACAAUGGGGGAAACCCUGAUGCAGCAACGCCGCGUGCGGGAUGACGGCCUUCGGGUUGUAAACCGCUUUCAGCCAUGACGCGGUAGUGGCAGAAGAAGCACCGGCUAACUACGUGCCAGCAGCCGCGGUAAUUC
rnacentral:rRNA from 1 species